rnacentral:rRNA from 1 species
CAAGUCGAGCGAUGAAGUUUCUUCGGAAAUGGAUUAGCGGCGAACGGGUGAGGAACACGUGAAGAAUCUGCCCUCCACUUUGGGAUAACACCGGGAAACCGGUGCUAAUACCGAAUAUUGAAACAUAAGUGGCAUCACUGAGUUUUGAAAGAAUUUCGGUGGAGGAUGACUUCGCGGCCUAUCAGCUAGUUGGUGAGGUAAUGGCUCACCAAGGCAACGACGGGUAGCCGGCCUGAGAGGGCGACCGGCCACACUGGGACUGAGACACGGCCCAGACUCCUACGGGAGGCAGCAGUGGGGAAUAUUGGGCAAUGGAGGAAACUCUGACCCAGCGACGCCGCGUGCAGGAUGAAGGCCUUCGGGUUGUAAACCGCUUUCAGUAGGGAAGAAGCGAAAGUGACGGUACCUACAAAAGAAGCACCGGCUAACUAUGUGCCAGCAGCCGCGGUAAUACAUAGGGUGCAAGCGUUGUCCGGAAUUAUUGGGCGUAAAGAGCUCGUAGGUCGUUUGUUACGUCGGAUGUGAAAACCUGAGGCUCAACCUCAGGCCUGCAUUCGAUACGGGCAAACUAGAGUUUGGUAGGGGAGACUGGAAUUCCUGGUGUAGCGGUGGAAUGCGCAGAUAUCAGGAGGAACACCAAUGGCGAAGGCAGGUCUCUGGGCCAAUACUGACACUGAGGAGCGAAAGUCUGGGGAGCGAACAGGAUUAGAUACCCUGGUAGUCCAGACCGUAAACGGUGGGCACUAGUUGUGGGAACCUUCCACGGUUUCUGCGACGCAGCUAACGCAUUAAGUGCCCCGCCUGGGGAGUACGAUCGCAAGAUUAAAACUCAAAGGAAUUGACGGG